rnacentral:rRNA from 1 species
UACGUAGGGGGCUAGCGUUGUCCGGAAUCAUUGGGCGUAACGAGCGUGUAGGCGGUCCGGUAAGUCCGCUGUGAAAGUCGGGGGCUCAACCCUCGAAUGCCGGUGGAUACUGUCGGGCUAGAGUACGGAAGAGGCGAGUGGAAUUCCUGGUGUAGCGGUGAAAUGCGCAGAUAUCGGGAAGAACACCAGUGGCGAAGGCGGCUCUCUGGGACGGUACUGACGCUGAGACGCGAAAGCGUGGGGAGCGAACAGG